rnacentral:rRNA from 1 species
UACGUAGGGCGCAAGCGUUGUCCGGAAUUAUUGGGCGUAAAGAGCUCGUAGGCGGUUAGUCGCGUCUGCUGUGAAAACUCGGGGCUUAACUCCGGGCCUGCAGUGGGUACGGGCUGACUAGAGUGCGGUAGGGGAGACUGGAAUUCCUGGUGUAGCGGUGAAAUGCGCAGAUAUCAGGAGGAACACCGGUGGCGAAGGCGGGUCUCUGGGCCGUAACUGACGCUGAGGAGCGAAAGCGUGGGGAGCGAACAGG